CGCGGGGGGGCCGCUGCUUCCCCUACGGGGCUUCGCUGAGGUGAGGCGAGACUGGCGGGCCUGCUCUGAGGGGAGCCGGGGCCUUCCGCCCCCCCAGCGCAUUCGCUGUCCCGGCUUCCAAGGGUCCAGCGUGGGGAGGCCGUGAGCAGCCGGCUUCUGUGCCCCGACGCCGGGAGCCUCGUAGCUGCGGGCGCCGCUUCUCGCUGGUGGCAGGAGCAGGAUGUAUACACUGCUGUCUGGACUUUAUAAGUACAUAUUCCAGAGAGAUGAAUACUGCGUCUUGAUCCUGGGGUUGGACAAUGCCGGUAAAACGACGUUCCUUGAGCAAACUAAAAUCCGAUUUAACAGGAACUAUAAGGGGAUGAGCUUAUCCAAAAUUACGACUACUGUAGGCUUAAACAUUGGCACUAUUGAUGUGGGCAAAGUCCGGCUAAUGUUCUGGGAUCUUGGAGGGCAGGACGAGUUGCAGUCUCUCUGGGACAAGUACUAUGCUGAAUCCCAUGGGGUCAUCUAUAUUAUCGAUUCCACGGAUGAGGAGAGACUGUCAGAAUCUAAAAGAGCUUUUGAGAAGAUGAUUACUAGUGAAGUUCUCGAAGGUGUUCCUAUUCUGGUACUGGCUAACAAACAGGAUGUAGAGACGUGUCUGUCGAUCCCCGACAUCAAGACUGCUUUUAGCGAUUGCAUUAACAAAAUUGGAAAAAGAGACUGCUUGACACAGGCCUGCUCAGCUCUCACCGGGUGUCAAAACCUGAUGAGAUUCAACAGAACGGAGGAAACAGGGUAACGAGCAGCAGAAAGGUGACAGGGAGAACUUCCGAAGAAGCAGGCUGGUCUGACGUCACUGCAGCAGACCCGCUUUGAUAGAUGCAAACUGACCUCCAUGAAGGUGCCUUUGUUCCUCGGUUCCACAAACAUCGGUUUUACUUCUUCGAUUCUUCUGGCAAAGUCGUGUUCCUGUUAAACAGGGGCCAACCGCACAAAUAAGCAACCAACCAGCUCAGCAGCUGGGGUGUGAUCGCGUGCCGGGCUGUCAGAGAGAUCAAACUUUGCUAAUGCUUCCCCAGCAGAGCUCAGCUCUUUGUUCCGUCCUACCCACGAACAAGCAUCUCGGAGAUACUGCCAUACACGCUCCAGACAAAGAAUAACCUGCAUUGUGAAAAGUGUUUCCUUAUUUGACAUCCUUUCAAUACGACUGUCUUAGGGAGCUGCCAAGUAGAGAAAACAGCAAUAGGCACAGUUUAAAAAAAAACAAACCCCAAACGACAGAUUGCCUGAACAUAAGGACGACUUGGUUUUCUUUCCUUUUCCCAAGUUUAGGAGCGAGGCAAAGAGAGGAAAAAAGAUCACACUAUUUAACUUUCUGCCAAUGAAUCUAACGCUUUAACAUUUCUGGCAUUAAUUUUUUAGCUGCACACUUAAAAUCUGAAUCAUGAAAAGUCAAGUCUGGUGGAGUGUGAAACGGCACAUAUAGAACAGGAAAGGGAAAAAGCUUUGUAACUUUUACCAGUAGCUUUACACUGUGACAGGUUCCUUUAACAACUUGCAGACUGGACUGCUCCGAAAUCAGAACACCUUCUCAGUACAUUUCACUGCUGCUUGCAUAGACUGCCAUUUGUAAUCAGCGCGAGACUUCAACUUCUGCAGUGGGUCACCAGGAAAACAGCUACUCUUUUAAUAGAGGCAUUUAACUGUUUAGUCCCACUUGACCAGAUCAGGUGCAAAGCUGCUCGUGCUAGAAGAAGGCUUCAGAUGUUCUAUUCGCAGAAACAGAUUCAAUGACUCAUCGAUACCGGCGUCGGAAGG